GACGAACGCUGGCGGCGUGCCUAAUACAUGCAAGUCGAACGCAGUGGGGACGGGUGAGUAACACGUGGGUAGCCUCCCAUCAGAGGGGAUAACACUUGGAAACAGGUGCUAAACCGAUACCGAUGGAUGGACCCGCGGUGCAUUAGCGAGUUGGUGGGGUAACGGCUCACCACGGCAACGAUGAGUAGCGGAGCUGGUAGGGGGAUCGGCCACACUGGGACUGAGACACGGCCCAGACUCCUACGGGAGGCAGCAGUGGGGAAUAUUGCACAAUGGGCGAAAGCCUGAUGCAGCCAUGCCGCGUGUAUGAAGAAGGCCUUCGGGUUGUAAAGUACUUUCGGCGGUGAAGCGUUACUCGCAGAAGAAGCACCGGCUAACUCCGUGCCAGCAGCCGCGGUAAUAC
rnacentral:rRNA from 1 species